rnacentral:lncRNA from 1 species
GGAUUGUCAUUAACAACCUCGGGGGCUGGCGGCGCCGAAUCUUCAAGCAAGCUGAUUACAUCCCGCAGUAUGGCGGCUGCGAGAGCCAAUGCACCUAUGUCCCCAGUUUGCACCGGGUCUUUACUUGUCAAAUCGACAAAGGGUGCUGCAGCAUAGUCCGUGCCCGACGGAUUUUCAACCUGCUCCGCGCUCAUGCCUUCAAGAACAAUAUCCUCGGAAGUCCUGAUAUCAAACACAAUUCAAGAUUAAGAAAGCGACUACUGAUCGUGAAGUCUGUAAUCAAGCCAUUACAACAGCGUACUUAUUUGGAGGACCGGGGAACACUCGGAGCUGGCUCACUAGCCGGUAUGGGUGGCAACUCCUCGGUGUUUUUGCCAAGACCUGAAAGAACCAACUCAAAGACAAUGUAUGCACAACUACUACCAG